rnacentral:rRNA from 1 species
AUGUCGUCGAGUGAGGGGAAGAAGACGGCGUGCGUCACCGGAGGGAGCGGUUACAUCGCUUCAGCGCUCAUCAAGCUGCUGCUCCAGAAAGGCUACGCUGUCAAGACGACCGUCAGAGACCCCGAUGACACGGAGAAGAAUUCCCACCUCAAGGACUUGCAAGCGCUUGGCCCCUUGGAGGUCAUCCGUGCCCGGCUGGACGAAGAAGGCAGCUUCGACGAUGCAGCUUCCGGCUGUGACUACGCCUUCCUUGUCGCCGCUCUGAUGAACUUCGGCUCAGCAGAUCCUGAGAGAGAUAUGAUCAAGCCGGCCGUCCAAGGAACACUCAACGUGAUGAGGUCGUGCGUGCGAGCGGGGACGGUGAAGCGGGUGAUUCUGACGUCGUCGGACGCCAGCGUGUCCAGGAGGCCGCUGCAGGGCGGCGGCCACGUGCUGGACGAGAGCUCCUGGUCCAACGUCGAGUACAUCAGAGCCAACAAACCACCAACUUGGGAAUACGUCGUGUCCAAGGUGCUUCUCGAGAAGGCGGCGAGCAAAUUUGCGGAGGAGAACGGCAUCAUCCUCGUCAUCGUGCUGCCCGUGUUCACCUUGGGCGCGGCGCCGGUCUCCAAGCCCACAUCAAGCGUCCCCGUCACCCUCUCCCUGUUGUCUGGCAAUGAGACACAGCUGGACAUCCUGAUAGGCGUACAGUCGGUCACCGACUCCGUGUCGAUAUGCCACGUGGAGGAUCUGUGUCGCGCUGAGGUGUUUGUAGCCGAGAACGAGUCCUUGGCGGGCAGGUACAUCUGCUGCAGCCACAACACCACCUUCGUGCAGCUUGCCCGUCUCGUAGCCGAGAAGUACCACAAUACAAUGUGA